AGGGUUUGAUCCUGGCUCAGGAUGAACGCUAGCGGCAGGCCUAACACAUGCAAGUCGAGGGGCAGCACGUCUUCGGAUGGUGGCGACCGGCGCACGGGUGCGUAACGCGUAUGCAACCUACCCUGUACUGAGGUAUAGCCCGGAGAAAUUCGGAUUAACCCCUCAUAGUAUUAAAGAAUCGCAUGAUUUUUUAAUUAAAGGUUACGGUACAGGAUGGGCAUGCGUCCUAUUAGCUAGAUGGUAAGGUAACGGCUUACCAUGGCUACGAUAGGUAGGGGGCCUGAGAGGGUGGUCCCCCACACUGGUACUGAGACACGGACCAGACUCCUACGGGAGGCAGCAGUGAGGAAUAUUGGUCAAUGGGCGCAAGCCUGAACCAGCCAUGCCGCGUGCAGGAAGAAUGCCCUAUGGGUUGUAAACUGCUUUUAUUUAGGAAUAAACCUUACUACGUGUAGUAAGCUGAAGGUACUGAAUGAAUAAGCACCGGCUAACUCCGUGCCAGCAGCCGCGGUAAUACGGAGGGUGCAAGCGUUAUCCGGAAUCCUUGGGUUUAAAGGGUCC
rnacentral:rRNA from 1 species